rnacentral:rRNA from 1 species
UGGGGAAUAUUGCACAAUGGGCGAAAGCCUGAUGCAGCGACGCCGCGUGAGGGAUGACGGCCUUCGGGUUGUAAACCUCUUUCAGUAGGGAAGAAGCGAAAGUGACAGUACCUGCAGAAGAAGCACCGGCUAACUACGUGCCAGCAGCCGCGGUAAUACGUAGGGUGCGAGCGUUAUCCGGAAUUAUUGGGCGUAAAGAGCUCGUAGGCGGUUUGUCGCGUCUGUCGUGAAAGUCCGGGGCUUAACCCCGGAUCUGCGGUGGGUACGGGCAGACUAGAGUGCAGUAGGGGAGACUGGAAUUCCUGGUGUAGCGGUGGAAUGCGCAGAUAUCAGGAGGAACGCCGAUGGCGAAGGCAGGUCUCUGGGCUGUAACUGACGCUGAGGAGCGAAAGCAUGGGGAGCGAACAGGAUUAGAUACCCUGGUAGUGCCAUGCCGUAAACGUUGGGCACUAGGUGUGGGGACCAUUCCACGGUUUCCGCGCCGCAGCUAAGCGCAUUAAGUGCCCCGCCUGGGGAGUACGGCCGCAAGGCUAAAACU